rnacentral:rRNA from 1 species
CAGCAGCCGCGGUAAUACGAACCGUGCGAACGUUAUUCGGAAUUACUGGGCUUAAAGCGUGUGUAGGCGGCUCGGCACGUCGGACGUUGAAAGCCCCCGGCUCAACCGGGGAAGUGGCGCCGAUACGGCCGAGCUGGAGGGGGGUAGGGGGGUCUGGAACUUCCGGUGUAGCAGUGAAAUGCGUAGAUAUGCGGAGGAACACCGAUGGCGAAGGCAAUCCCCUGGGCCUGCACUGACGCUCAUGCACGAAAGCGUGGGGAGCAAACAGGAUUAGAUACCCGGGUAGUCCCUGUCUCUUAUU